rnacentral:hammerhead_ribozyme from 1 species
AUCCAGCUGACGAGUCCCAAAUAGGAUGGAACUCGCGUUUUGGAU